rnacentral:lncRNA from 1 species
UGUCAUUUUUACUCUAGAGUAUCCGCAGUAGGAAAUUUUAAAAUUUGUAUAACUAUUCUGACUCUUAUUGGUAGUUUGAUGAUGUAUUAUGCAAGACAAUUAUGACUAUUUUAUAUUUGGUUAAUUGUAUAUUUGGAUUUGCGGGUUGGUAAGGCUUACUACGGGUUUCGGUGGCCUUAAGCCUACCCAUUCCCUAGUGCCGGUCACGGGCCCCCAG